AUAAUUUUAUUUAUAAAGUAAGCUAAAAUAAAUAA
rnacentral:tRNA from 1 species